AAGACCCAAAAAGUGGGACUCGGAUGCAUGGUGCAGAGUUGGGAUUAAAGACAUGUUGUUAGAUUUAACAAAAAGUGUUGGAAAUAGAUUAUAGCUUUCUGGAUUAUUGGACUUUUUGGAGCAUGUUUGGAACAAUGUCUGUCUUUUUUUUUCUCCUGGAGCUCCUUGGAAAUGAUUACCUGCACACCUGGAAGUCAUUCAACAUUAAAGUUCUGCUAACGAGUAAGCGAAAUGAAACAUCGCCCUUCAACACAUCAAACCUUAUCCGCCACGAUACAGGCCUGCAUCGCUAUCAGCCGACAAAGACGCCUGCUUCUGAGGAAUACAUCGUAAUAUACGACUGAACCUCCAAUUUAACCUCUCCUCGCACUCAUCAAUCGUUCCGACAGCUUCCGUCAACAUUCGUCUUUUCCUGUCGUCUAUUUUGAGUCUGGCUGAAUGAAGCAGUUUGACACAUGCUGAGUGACAACCGCACUCCAGGGCUCGGCUGCAAGCCCAAAGCUCCAACGAUGCUCCAUUACUGGCUUUGUUUGCGCCCAGAAUAGCUCCAAUGAUCUUUGACUUUUGUCGAUUAAACAGUCGGAUGCUUCCUGGGAUUGUUUCCUUAUCAACUUCCCGCUGGUUUCAACAAAGUGUGCUUAGUCUUUUUGCUGAUCUUGUUAGUUGAAGCUAAAGUCAGCGUGUGUUGUUAUUAGAACAAACUGUAAUUCUAAUUAGAGUUGCAAUUCCCGCAGGAAUUGCGUAUGA